rnacentral:rRNA from 1 species
GACGAACGCUGGCGGCGUGCUUAACACAUGCAAGUCGAACGGAAAGGCCCUGCUUUUGUGGGGCGCUCGAGUGGCGAACGGGUGAGUAACACGUGAGUAACCUGCCCUUGACUUUGGGAUAACUUCAGGAAACUGGGGCUAAUACCGGAUAGGAGCUCCUGCUGCAUGGUGGGGGUUGGAAAGUUUCGGCGGUUGGGGAUGGACUCGCGGCUUAUCAGCUUGUUGGUGGGGUAGUGGCUUACCAAGGCUUUGACGGGUGGCCGGCCUGAGAGGGUGACCGGCCACAUUGGGACUGAGAUACGGCCCAGACUCCUACGGGAGGCAGCAGUGGGGAAUAUUGCACAAUGGGCGGAAGCCUGAUGCAGCAACGCCGCGUGCGGGAUGACGGCCUUCGGGUUGUAAACCGCUUUCGCCUGUGACGAAGCGUGAGUGACGGUAAUGGGUAAAGAAGCACCGGCUAACUACGU